NNNNNNNNNNNNNNNNGCGUACGGUGAAUGCCUUGGCACUAGGAGCCGAUGAAGGACGGAACGAACACCGAUAUGCUUCGGGGAGCUGUAAGUAAGCUUUGAUCCGGAGAUGUCCGAAUGGGGCAACCUCCCAUCUUUAGUCGGAUGGGACUAGGAAAGUGAAUCCAUAGCUUUCUUAGGGGAAGACGCGGUGAACUGAAACAUCUCAGUAGCUGUAGGAAGAGAAAACAAGAGUGAUUUCCCUAGUAGCGGCGAGCGAACGGGAAAGAGGCCAAACAGACAUGCUUGCAUGUCUGGGUUGUAGGACUCAAUGUCGGGAUUGGCCGUUUAAGGUGAACACCCUGGAAAGGGUGGCCAGAGCAGGUGAUAGCCCUGUAACCGACCGAGCGGUCGGCCCAUGAGGAUCCUGAGUACGACGGCACACGUGCUAUGCCGUCGGAAGCCGGGAGGACCAUCUCCCAAGCCUAAAUACUCCCUAGUGACCGAUAGUGAACCAGUACCGUGAGGGAAAGGUGAAAAGAACCCCGGGAGGGGAGUGAAAGAGCACCUGAAACCGUAUGCUUACAAGUAGUCAGAGCCCGUU
rnacentral:ncRNA from 1 species